rnacentral:rRNA from 1 species
GACGAACGCUGGCGGCGUGCUUAACACAUGCAAGUCGAACGGGAUUUGGUAGACAGAAGCCUCGGCUAAAGAUUACUAAUGAGAGUGGCGAACGGGUGAGUAACGCGUGAGCAACCUGCCUAUGACAGUGGGAUAGCCUCGGGAUACCGGGAUUAAUACCGCAUAAAAUCGUAGAAACACAUGUUUCAACGGUCAAAGAUUUAUCGGUCAUAGAUGGGCUCGCGUCUGAUUGGCUAGUUGGUGAGAUAACAGCCCACCAAGGCGACGAUCAGUAGACGGUCUGAGAGGAUGAACGGCCACAUUGGAACUGAGACACGGUCCAAACUCCUACGGGAAGCAGCAGUGGGGAAUAUUGCACAAUGGGGGAAACCAUGAUGCAGCGACGCCGCGUGAACGAAGAAGGUAUUAGUAUAGUAAAGUUCUGUCCUAUGGGAAGAUAAUGACAGUACCAUAGAAGAAAGCUCCGGCUAAAUACGUG